rnacentral:rRNA from 1 species
GCAAGUCGAGCGAGAAAGCACUUCGGUGUGAGUAUAGCGGCGGACGGGUGAGUAACGCGUAGGAAUCUACCUAGUAGUGGGGGACAACCUGGUGAAAACCAGGCUAAUACCGCAUACGCCCUACGGGGGAAAGCGGGGGACCUUCGGGCCUCGUGCUAUUGGAUGAGCCUGCGUCGGAUUAGCUAGUUGGUGGGGUAAAAGCCCACCAAGGCGACGAUCCGUAGCUGGUCUGAGAGGAUGAUC